GAUGAAGAACGUAGCGAAAUGCGAUACUUGGUGUGAAUUGCAGAAUCCCGUGAACCAUCGAGUCUUUGAACGCAAGUUGCGCCCGAAGCCAUUAGGCCGAGGGCACGCCUGCCUGGGCGUCACACGUCGUUGCCCCCCAUCUACUCCUUCGGGAUUGCGGGGGGCGGAUGAUGGCCUCCCGUGCGCCUUGUCGCGCGGUUGGCAUAAAUACCAAGUCCUCGGCGACGCACGCCACGACAAUCGGUGGUUGCGAAACCUCGGUUGCCUGUCGUGUGCGGUCGUCGCGCAUCGAGGGCUCGAAAAAAUUGUCGGUCUUCGGCUCGGCUUUCAACGCGACCCCAGGUCAGGCGGGGUUACCCGCUGAAUUUAAGCAUAUCAACAAGCGGAGGA
rnacentral:misc_RNA from 1 species